UGGAGAGUGGCGCAGCGGUAGCGCAGGGCACCGUUAAUGCCGUGGUCGCAGGUUCGAAUCCUCCUCUUCAGCCA
rnacentral:tRNA from 1 species